GAUUGUUGACAUUGCCUUCAGCCAGUGGAAGUAAAUGACUUAGUGAAUCUGAAGAAGGCCCACAGAAAGGCUCUGAUCCCUCCAACAUCUCAAAGAACAACUCACUGACCUCAUUAUACAUGUACAGUGAAGGAAAGAGAUCCACAGCUGGGUCAAUGAGUCUGGAACCAGAGGCUCCAGUGUCCUUCAAAUCUCCAAACAUCUCCACCCAUCUCGUGUGCUGUCACACAGCCCGGAGUGGAGCUCUCUCUGGUUGGUACCCUCUGAGAUGCCUCACCGUGAUCCCUGCUUCCUGUAAGUCAUACUCCUAUGUGAUCCCUUCCCAUAAGGGAUGGGCCGGACCUAGGGACUUACUUCUAACAGACAGAAGAUAGCGAAAGCAACUGGAUGUCGCUCCUGAGGUUAGGUUGCAGAAAGAGUGUAGAUUUUGUCUUAGAUGCUCUUGCCUACUUGUUCUGAAGGAUGCCCGCUGCCAUUUUGUGAGCCGCCCAAGGGGAGAUCCACAUGGCAGGGAACUGUGGGUGGCUUCCAGCAAACAGUCGGCAAGAGAAUGAGGCCUCCGGUCAUGCAGCCUCCAAGGAACUGAAUCCAGUUCAUGUGUGAGCUUGGAAGCUCAUGCUCCCCUAGUUGAGCCUUUAGAAGAGAUGACAGCCUGGCCAUCACCUCCACACAGCCUCAGUGGAGGCCUUGACCCAAAGGCAGCCAGAUAAGCCACACCUGGGUUCCUGAUCACAGAGACUGUGAGAUAAUCUGCAUUUUUAAAGCCUCCAAUCUGGGGGGGGGGCGGCAAUUUGUUAGUUGGUGAUAGGUCACCAAUCCAUCCAGAAAACCAAGGGAUCAGGACGGGAAUGUGCCUGCCCAGACGCAAGGUAGGUUCAGGAGUCUGGAACUAGAAAGAGCAGAAGGAGGAAGAACAGAACACGGAGUACAGGGCUUGUGUAGGGAGCAUAUGCUGACCUGGACGGAGUGUGGACCAAUGGUGAAGGCUGAGCAUGGGCUCUUGACCAGACUGCCUGGAUAUCAAGCCUGGCUCCAGCUUACCUCUUCAGAGCAGGUAUUUUACCUCCUUUAAACAUCAGCAAUCUCCUCUGUAACCCGAGGCCCUUAAACAUACCCACCUCACAGAGAUAAGCCCGUAAAGUGGGGGGUUCCCCUCCAGUUACGGAGUCAGGGUUCUAACAGUUACAAAUGGGGCUGGCCUAGCAAAGGCAGCAGAGUUCAUUUUACAGAAGAGCCUGUCCCCUCAGUGGGUGAGGGAGGAAGGUUGGGAGCUCCUCCUAAGGCAUUCACUGUCCAAGGCAGACAGGGUUUACAGAGGAUGUGUCAAGGAGCUGUUGGCUUACUUCUUGAGAUGGAUCAUCAGAUAUCGGAGGGUUUCAUAGUGGGCCGGCGGCAGCAGCAUCAGCACGUCAUGGACGGCUUCCAACCUCUCAUCUGCAUUGGAGAUUUCUGGGAAGAGCCCACAGAAGCAGUUAGUGCAGUGCUAGAACAUCAAAGUUUUCAGAGAAGUAAAAAGAAGUUUGGUUUGUUCUGGUGACAGGUGGAAGGGAAGUCUAGUGAGUUCACGCAAUUUUAGGUAACAUUUCACUUAAAUUAUAUCAAAGCAUUUGUAUCUUGUCUGAUUCCAGUAAGGGUUGGAGGUUGGGAACCACACAUGUGUUGAACACCCAGUGGGUGGGUGAAAGGAAGCUGGGCCUGGUCCUUGCCCCCCAGGAAUCUAUAGUCCUGGAGAUGUUUGCAGGUGGCACAGAUGGCUUUGCUCAUCUUCUGAAUGCUGGACUUGCUUGAAAUCUCAAUAUCAUGAGCUUUAAUUUAAACUGGACCAUACUUUGUAGGGUUCUCCUACAGCUGUCUGACAGCCUUUUCCUGCAAGGCUCCCAUGACUGAAUGCACUUUAUGACACAAGGGGGCUAGCCCACCGGUGCAGCUUGCAUUGAUGGCGCCGUUCAUCAAAGUGUUGGCAUGUUUAACUGUGCUGUACAGUCUGGGUUAGGAAGCAAAUACUAGGCAUGUUCACAAACAGAGGAAACAUGCAUGCUUUUGCUUUUUAGGGCUCUGAUUGGUAUUAGCAGUCAUUCAAGGAACACUCCCCCUCCAUUUCUGCUGGGGCAAAGGGUGCUGGGCUGCCAGAACCUUCUUCACCCAGGACCACCAGGACCCAGGAGAGAAGGCUCUUACCAGGAAGAGGGGCCAUGGCUCAUCAGGAAAGUGCAUCUUGCACUAAUCCCAGCCUGCCCACAUUUGUCCCCAUUGGGCAUCUUAUUAUUAUACUUACCUUUGAGGAAUUUCUUAUGAAAAAGAUCUUUAAAGGGUGCUUGUUUGCUAUGUCAUGCAUUCCAGCAUCUACUCUGCCCUUCCUUCCUAUGUUCCUGGGCAAAGUGCAGCACCGCUUCCCACUCCCUGCCCCCUAUCUCCCACCCUAAUAUGGUCCUCUCUCCUGACACCAGUCAACCCAAGUACCAAACACUAAUGAACAACCAUGGGCUGAAGGAAGACCAAUGAUGAUGAUGUUCGGUUCCUGUCCCUGAGUGCUCAGCUCUCAGACGCUAGCUUUCCUACUCAUAAGCCGCCUCAUCAAGUAGAUGAGUAGAUGGAGAACAUUAUGGAGUGGUCCUGGUAUAGCACGUGCCAUGGUAUUAUCAGUUGUGAACAUCAGUGAGCAAAGCUUGGGGUCUAACUUUAAUCGAUUAGCAAUGAGAGUGUGCUUAAUGGAUGAAAGUAGCUAAUCUAUAUAGUCCUCAUUGGAGAAAAUCUGCUUGUUUACACCAGACUCAUUAUUGUUUUUGAUAUAUAACAGAGUAGCCCCAGCUGGGCCAGUUCCAGCAGAGAAGAGACGAAAUGGAGAGAGAACUGCCUGGCGCCAAGCUUCAGCCGCAUGGAGGUAGCUUGGGACUUGUUCAACUCAGCUGGUGAACUAGGCCUGGUUUUCUAGUAACUGUACCAUUGUGCCCUCACUUGGCAAAGCGAGUGCUCAUGGAAUAAACAGUCCUGAGUUUUAAUUUUCUUGAAGUUAAAAGCAUUCUACUUUGCACUUUGGUACAAAUAAAAGGUUAGUUCUCAAUACUUA